rnacentral:tRNA from 1 species
GCCGGGGUGGUGGAAUUGGCAGACGCGCUAGGUUCAGGACCUAGUGAGCUUCGGCUCGUGCGGGUUCGAGUCCCGCCUCCGGCACCA